AGUGAACGCUGGCGGUAGGCCUAACACAUGCAAGUCGAACGGCAGCACAGUAAGAGCUUGCUCUUACGGGUGGCGAGUGGCGGACGGGUGAGGAAUACAUCGGAAUCUACUUUUUCGUGGGGGAUAACGUAGGGAAACUUACGCUAAUACCGCAUACGACCUACAGGUGAAAGCAGGGGAUCUUCGGACCUUGCGCGAUUGAAUGAGCCGAUGUCGGAUUAGCUAGUUGGCGGGGUAAAGGCCCACCAAGGCGACGAUCCGUAGCUGGUCUGGGAGGAUGAUCAGCCACACUGGAACUGAGACACGGUCCAGACUCCUACGGGAGGCAGCAGUGGGGAAUAUUGGACAAUGGGCGCAAGCCUGAUCCAGCCAUACCGCGUGGGUGAAGAAGGCCUUCGGGUUGUAAAGCCCUUUUGUUGGGAAAGAAAAGCAGCAGGUUAAUACCCCGCUGUUCUGACGGUACCCAAAGAAUAAGCACCGGCUAACUUCGUG
rnacentral:rRNA from 1 species